UCUUAUAGCACCCGUUUUGUACUCUAAUCAUGUGAAUUACUCCUAUUCAUGAACAAGAGAGUAUCUGCUCAUAAUAGAGAUCUGCCUCCCCAUGAUGAGGAGUUCAUUAUUUAAAUAGUUGUGCAUGCCAUUUUCAAUAAGCAGAAGCAUUACAUAAAUAUUCAUAUUGACCAUAGGGCAAAAACAGAGGAAAUUGAUUAUAUUUCCGUUUUUCUUAGGACCAGGAGCAGCUGCAGGCUAUCACGGAACCAGUUCUCUCAUUUGUUCUGCAAUGCAGUAGGCACACUCCACAAUCUCAGUUCCUAAUCUUUGUUAUGCGCUGAGAGGAGGGAAGAAGGAUAAUGUGGUCGCAGCCCUAUCGGCACCCUUCUCACCUGAUUCAUCCGCAACACGCCAUGCAGGUUCGUUUUUGUGUAUUGUUCUUUACUGUCAAGUCUGAAGUUAGUGGUUCUUGAGUGAGCUGCGGAAGCUACUACCGUCUGUUAUCUGCUCCAUCUGUGCGCCGACGAACAAGUUAAUUAGGUGGCUUGGUGUGUGCUUUUCGACCGCCAUGGCCGACGACUCAUCGUCCCCGAUAUCUUACAUCCAACUGGUACAUUCACACAGUAUAAUGCUCUGCUCCACUGUCUUUCUUGCGUUGCAUUUCUGCAUGCAUGCAGAGGAAGGGAGAAACUGUAUUCCGAGAUUGUAUCUUCAGAUACUGGCUAGCUAGCUUUGAUCCAAAAAAGAAAUGGUUGUCAUGGCGGCAGCAACAUCUAUACUCUGAAUAUGUGUUCCUCUGUAGAUGUGUGUUGUCACUGUAAAUAAAUUCAGUGUACGUAGCCUGCCACUUGUGUAAUUCAUUAACAUCCGACCACAUGAGAGUUUGUAGCUGGUGACAGCACCAAGUGGUAAGCAUGUUUUCUUGAGAAUUCAACA